rnacentral:rRNA from 1 species
CGUAGUUGGACUUCUGGGCUUGUGUUGUGGUCCGCCUCACGGUGAGCACUGCGACAUGGGUCCUUCUUCUUGAAGACUGUGCGUGUCCUUAACUGGGUGUGUACAGGAUUUGAGACCUUUACUUUGAAAAAAUUAGAGUGUUCAAAGCAGGCCUUCGCUUGAAUACAUUAGCAUGGAAUAAUGGAAUAGGACUUCUGUUCUAUUUUGUUGGUUUCUAGGACUGAAGUAAUGA